GAGAAAUGCUUUCUGGAAAGGUCACAGAGGACUUCACAGCAGAGGGCUCACCCGAGCAGUGUUUUAAAGGAUGAGUAGAAUUUCACGGUGCAAAGAGAUGGGAAGAAAGUAUCCUUGAUGGAGGAAACAUCACAGGCUUUAUCCUGAAGGCAGUAAAAGGUCCAUGAAAAUCUGGAAGAAGGGCAUGAUCAGACAUGUAUAAUGAAAAGGCCUCUCACUGCUGUGGCCUCUCCCGCCACGGAGCACAGGCUCCAGACGCGCAGGCCCAGCGGCCAUGGCCCACGGGCCCAGCCGCUCCGCGGCAUGUGGGAUCUUCCCGGACCGGGGC